rnacentral:rRNA from 1 species
CCUACGGGUGGCAGCAGUGGGGAAUCUUCGGCAAUGGGGGAAACCCUGACCCAGCGACGCCGCGUGAGUGAAGAAGUAUUUCGGUACGUAAAGCUCUGUUAGCAGGGAAGAACAUGAGGGUAAGUGACUAAGAAGCCCUGGCUAACUACGUGCCAGCAGCCGCGGUAAUACGUCGGGGGCAAGCGUUAUCCGGAUUUACGGGGUGUAACGGGAGCGUAGACGGAUGCGCAAGUCGGGUGUGAAAUGCCGCGGCCCAACCCCGGAGCGGCUUUGGAAACUGUGAAACUUGAGUGCAGGAGAGGAAAGCGGAAUUCCAUGUGUAGCGGUGAAAUGCGUAGAUAUCUGGAGGAACACCGGCGGCGAAGGCGGCUUUCUGGACUGUAACUGACGCUGAGGCUCGAAAGCGUGGGGAGCAAACAGGAUUAGAUACCCCAGUAGUC